rnacentral:tRNA from 1 species
GGGGAUGUGGCUCAAGCGGUAGCGCACUUGCCUGGUGUGCAUGCGGCUCAGUUCGAUCCUCAGCACCA